rnacentral:rRNA from 1 species
AGUGAACGCUGGCGGUAGGCCUAACACAUGCAAGUCGAACGGCAGCACAGUCAGAGCUUGCUCUUACGGGUGGCGAGUGGCGGACGGGUGAGGAAUACAUCGGAAUCUACUUUUUCGUGGGGGAUAACGUAGGGAAACUUACGCUAAUACCGCAUACGACCUACGGGUGAAAGCAGGGGAUCUUCGGACCUUGCGCGAUUGAAUGAGCCGAUGUCGGAUUAGCUAGUGGGCGGGGUAAAGGCCCACCAAGGCGACGAUCCGUAGCUGGUCUGAGAGGAUGAUCAGCCACACUGGAACUGAGACACGGUCCAGACUCCUGCGGGAGGCAGCAGUGGGGAAUAUUGGACAAUGGGGGCAAGCCUGAUCCAGCCAUACCGCGUGGGGGAAGAAGGCCUUCGGGUUGUAAAGCCCUUUUGUUGGGAAAGAAAAGCAGCAGGUUAAUACCCCGCUGUUCUGACGGUACCCAAAGAAUAAGCACCGGCUAACUUCGUG